CCUACGGGAGGCAGCAGUGGGGAAUAUUGGACAAUGGGGGGAACCCUGAUCCAGCCAUGCCGCGUGUGUGAAGAAGGCCUUAUGGUUGUAAAGCACUUUAAGCGAGGAGGAGGCUCUUCUAGUUAAUACCUAGGAUGAGUGGACGUUACUCGCAGAAUAAGCACCGGCUAACUCUGUGCCAGCAGCCGCGGUAAUACAGAGGGUGCGAGCGUUAAUCGGAUUUACUGGGCGUAAAGCGUGCGUAGGCGGCUUUUAAGUCGGAUGUGAAAUCCCCGAGCUUAACUUGGGAAUUGCAUUCGAUACUGGGAAGCUAGAGUAUGGGAGAGGAUGGUAGAAUUCCAGGUGUAGCGGUGAAAUGCGUAGAGAUCUGGAGGAAUACCGAUGGCGAAGGCAGCCAUCUGGCCUAAUACUGACGCUGAGGUACGAAAGCAUGGGGAGCAAACAGGAUUAGAUACCCUGGUAGUCCAUGCCGUAAACGAUGUCUACUAGCCGUUGGGGCCUUUGAGGCUUUAGNGGCGCAGCUAACGCGAUAAGUAAGACCGCCUUGGGGGAGUACGGGUUCGCGAAGCUUAAAAACGUUCAAAAGGAGUUAGUUAGGCCGUUGAGGACGUUAGCCGACCGGACGGCCACCGACGGGAAGGGAGUAGG
rnacentral:rRNA from 1 species